rnacentral:lncRNA from 1 species
ACAACUAUAAGACUUACCAUAACAUCAAUCAAGAUAAUGUAGUAUUAGGAAAAUAGACAAGCAGAUCAAUGGAACAGACAGUCCAGAAAUAGGCUGACAUAAAUACAGUCAACUGAUCUUUCACAAAGGAGCAAGUGCAAUACAACAGAGCAAAGAGAGUCUUUUCAACAAAUGGUGCUGAAACAACUGGACAUCCAUGCCAAAAAAAUGAAGUUGGAGAUCUGUGAUAUAUGAUUCCAACCAUAUGCAAGCUGGAAAAGCAAAACUAUGGAGACAGUCAAAGGAUCAGUAGUUUGGGGGUUGGGGGAAGGGAGGGAUAAACAGGUGGAACACAGGAUUUUUUAGGGCAGUGAAACAGCUCUGUGUGAUGCUACAAUGAUGGAUACAUGUCAUUUAUACAUUUGUUCAAACCCAGAGAAUGUACAAUACCAAGAGUGAAUCCUA